rnacentral:rRNA from 1 species
GGGCCCGCACAAGCGGAGGAACAUGUGGUUUAAUUCGAUGAUACGCGAGGAACCUUACCCGGGCUUGAAAUGCAUCUGACCGUCCAAGAGAUUGGACUUCUAGCAAUAGCAGAUGCGUAGGUGCUGCAUGGUUGUCGUCAGCUCGUGCCGUGAGGUGUCGGCUUAAGUGCCAUAACGAGCGCAACCCACAUUGUAAGUUACUAACAGGUAAAGCUGAGGACUCUGACAAGACUGCCGGCGUAAGCCGCGAGGAAGGUGUGGAUGACGUCAAAUCAGCACGGCCCUUACGUCCGGGGCUACACACGUGUUACAAUGGAUGGUACAGAGGGUCGCUACCGUGCGAACGGAUGCCAAUCUCGAAAGCCAUUCCCCAGUUCGGAUUGGAGUCUGCAACUCGACUCCAUGAAGCUGGAUUCGCUAGUAAUCGCGCAUCAGCCAUGGCG